CCGCAGUAUAUCGUCGAAUUCGCGACGGUGCCAUCUUCGUCUGUGAGCACGUCCGCGAGGCAGUUUCCGGCGAGCGAUUCCGGACGAACCCGUCGAUCUCCACGUUCCCGUCUUCGCCGAUUUAUAUUUGUCAAAUCAAGCGCCGUUGCCUGCUUCAACAUCGCCGGGGAAUCAUCCUCGAAGAGGCGCGGUUGUAUUCCAGCAAUCCCCAUCUCCUAUUGUGGUUGUGUUGAUUGCAACGAGUGUUUCCGCGAAGAGUGUAC